GUCCAGGGAUGGGAAUCAAACCCACAUUGUUCCGCUUACCGGGCAGAUGCCAUGUCCACUAGGCUACCCUGGA
rnacentral:tRNA from 1 species